rnacentral:tRNA from 1 species
GGGGUCGUGGCGGAAUUGGUAGACGCACCAGCUUGAGGUGCUGGCGGGAGCAAUCUCGUGUGAGUUCGAGUCUCACCGUCCCCA